UACGUAGGGGGCUAGCGUUGCUCGGAAUCACUGGGCGUAAAGGGUGCGUAGGCGGGUCUUUAAGUCAGGGGUGAAAUCCUGGAGCUCAACUCCAGAACUGCCUUUGAUACUGAAGAUCUUGAGUUCGGGAGAGGUGAGUGGAACUGCGAGUGUAGAGGUGAAAUUCGUAGAUAUUCGCAAGAACACCAGUGGCGAAGGCGGAUCUCUGGGCCUGUCCUGACGCUCAGGCGCGAAAGCUAGGGGAGCAAACAGG
rnacentral:rRNA from 1 species